rnacentral:rRNA from 1 species
UGUACCCGUACCGUAAACCGACACAGGUGGAUGAGGAGAGAAUCCUAAGGCCGGCGGAAGAAGUAUUGCCAAGGAACUCGGCAAAAUGGCCCCGUAACUUAGGGAGAAGGGGUGCCUGCGAGAGCAGGCCGCAGAGAAUAGGCUCAAGCAACUGUUUAGCAAAAACACAGGUCUAUGCGAAACCGAAAGGUGAGGUAUAUGGGCUGACGCCUGCCCGGUGCUGGAAGGUUAAGAGGAGAGGUCAGACGCAAGUCGAAGCUUUGAAUUUAAGCCCCAGUAAACGGCGGCCGUAACAAUAACGGUCCUAAGGUAGCGAAAUUCCUUGUCGGGUAAGUUCCGACCCGCACGAAAGGCGUAAUGAUUUGAGCGCUGUCUCGGCAAUACAUCCGGUGAAAUUGAAGUGCCAGUGAAGAUGCUGGCUACCCGCGCCAGGACGGAAAGACCCCAUGGAGCUUUACUCCAGUUUGGCACUGGGGUCCGGUGUUGCAUGUACAGGAUAGGUGGGAGGCUGAGAAACGGUAACGUCAGUUGCCGCGGAGCCGCUGUUGGGAUACCACCCUUGUGAUAUUGGGCUUCUAACCAGCCGCCGUGAUCCGGCGGUGGGACAAUGCCAGGCGGGGAGUUUGACUGGGGCGGUCGCCUCCGAAAGGGUAUCGGAGGCGCCCAAAGGUUCCCUCAGAAUGGACGGAAACCAUUCGAAGAGUGCAAAGGCAGAAGGGAGCUUGACUGCGACACCGACGGGUGGAGCAGGUACGAAAGUAGGGCUUAGUGAUCCGGUGGUAUUAAGUGGGAAUGCCAUCGCUCAACGGAUAAAAGCUACCCUGGAUAACAGGCUUAUCACUCCCAAGAGUUCACAUCGACGGAGUGGUUUGGCACCUCGAUGUCGGCUCAUCGCAUCCUGGGGCUGUAGUAGGUCCCAAGGGUUGGGCUGUUCGCCCAUUAAAGCGGUACGCGAGCUGGGUUCAGAACGUCGUGAGACAGUUCGGUCCCUAUCCGGCGUGGGCGUAGGAUAUCUGAGAGGAGCUGUCCUUAGUACGAGAGGACCGGGAUGGACGGACCGCUGGUGGACCGGUUGGCUUGCCAAAGCCAUGGCCGGGUAGCCAAGUCCGGAAGGGAUAAACGCUGAAGGCAUCUAAGCGUGAAGCCCCCCUCAAGAUGAGAUAUCCCAUUCUUAUGAAGUAAACCCCCUUGAAGACGACGAGGUAGAUAGGGCAGAGGUGGAAGUGUGGUAACGCAUGGAGCUGACUGUUACUAAUCGGGUGAGGGCUUGAUCAA